AGGAACAGUAAGAAAAAGUUGCUGAUUUUCAGAGGUCUUUUCAGCUUCAUAUUUCUGUGAUUAAAAAUGAGAAGGCAGAAGUGGAUAAUCAACCAGAAGAUGCUACUGAGUUUCAGGUACCUAUGUUCAACCAGCCAACCACAGUCUGGAAGCAGAUAAUCCUCAUUCUGACCCAUCAUCCAAAGGUCAAUAUUAAUCUAAUGCUGUCAUUCACCGACUUCAUCUCAUCCCAUGGGAAUGUGAUCACCUUACAUCAUCACGUUAAGAAGGCACAAUCUGUUCUGAUUAGGGAAAAAAUUAUUAACAAUGUUCCGUGGUGUCAUGCUUCACUGGAAUACAACACUGGAAACAAUAGAUGUGGGAAUCUUCUCUACUGGAGGAGAUAUUCUGUCUUCUUUUUACUGCUUUUGCUGGCCUAACACACUGCUCAUUAUUAAUGUCACACUUGGGAUCAUGGUGACCUCUCUACAACUCUUCCAGCAGAUGUAGCCAGACUAUGACAAAAACAAAAUAUCAAACACAAGAGUAUAAUUCUAUUUUGCAGACAAAACAGCUGGGUAUUAACUGCUUCAAAAGAUUGUGAGUAUUCGCUCCUUCAAAAGAAACCUCACCCUGAAAGAAAUGCCUACACGUGUUAUGAUUGGUGAAGUGGUAGUACUGCUUUAAAUGAGAUGAAUUCCUACUUGCAGCCUUUCUCCAAAACUUUCUCCACCAACUGCCUCGGGCCUGAAGCUUCCUCUUUGUUUUUUAUUCUCUCUCCAUUUGUUUUAUUUCUUGAAUUUCACUUCUGCAACCAAAAUUACCUUUUUGUCUUCUGGGGUUAGAAUUGAUUCACUUUUUCUCCCUUUCCAAGCAUGUUUCAUUAAAACACAAUGUUGAUAUACCUCCACGAGGGAAUAAAAUCUGUGCUCU